rnacentral:rRNA from 1 species
UACGUAGGGGGCAAGCGUUGUCCGGAUUUAUUGGGCGUAAAGCGCGUGUAGGCGGCCAUGUAGGUCUGACGUGAAAUUCCGAGGCUCAACCUCGGCAGGUCGUUGGAAACCAUAUGGCUAGAGUCGGAAGAGGAGAGUGGAAUUCCUGGUGUAGCGGUGAAAUGCGCAGAUAUCAGGAAGAACACCAAUGGCGAAGGCAGCUCUCUGGGACGGUACUGACGCUGAGACG